GACGAACGCUGGCGGCAUGCCUAAUACAUGCAAGUCGAGCGAACAGAUGAAGUGCUUGCACUUCUGACGUUAGCGGCGAACGGGUGAGUAACACGUAAGGAAUCUACCUAUAAGCGGGGGAUAACAUUCGGAAACGGGUGCUAAUACCGCAUAAUAUCUUCUUCCGCAUGGAAGAAGAUUGAAAGACGGCUCUGCUGUCACUUAUAGAUGACCUUGCGGUGCAUUAGUUAGUUGGUGGGGUAACGGCCUACCAAGACGAGGAUGCAUAGCCGACCUGAGAGGGUGAUCGGCCACAUUGGGACGGAGACACGGCCCAAACUCCUACGGGAGGCAGCAGUAGGGAAUCUUCCGCAAUGGGCGAAAGCCUGACGGAGCAAUGCCGCGUGAGUGAAGAAGGCCUUCGGGUCGUAAAACUCUGUUAUAAGAGAAGAACAAAUUGUAGAGUAACUGCUACAGUCUUGACGGUAUCUUAUCAGAAAGCCACGGCUAACUACGUGCCAGCAGCCGCAGUAA
rnacentral:rRNA from 1 species